rnacentral:lncRNA from 1 species
UUCGAAUUUGGUUGGAAAGUAGAAAAAAAAUUCAAUCGAAAUCUUGAAGAAAAAAGAACUGACGGAAUAGACAUGUUUAUGAAAUGAAAAGGGGAAUCAUAAAGUGAAGAAAAGAAUAUGUCUAAUCAUCACAGAUUUCCCCAUAGAACACCAGAUCCAUCUCUUAGGAGUUUAACAGGAAGUUUUGAAGAAGCAAAAGAAGCUACAGGGGCCAAAUUACAUGGUGGAGAUGAACCUGAUUUGCGCUAUGCAGAUGAUUCACCAGAUGAAUAUGAGGGAAUUGAGAUGUCAACAUGUGGACAAUCAGCACAUUAUUCUUUGUCAAAUGGUGGACAAACUAAGGUA